rnacentral:lncRNA from 1 species
UCGCACCGCCCUGCAAUGUGCCGCCACCGUGGAACUCGCCUGCGCCACCACUUCGGGACUCACCAAGCAGUCGAGGUGUGUUGCUAGGUCACCUCGCAUCGGUCCGGGGCUCUUUCUGGCGAGGAUUGCAUCCGGACUGGGGGGAAUUCCUCGCCGCACUUGCUGCCCCGUCGUAGAACCUGCUCGCGCUGUAGCCCGACUCCUCUGCGACGUCAUUGCCGGUAAGAUGCCCUUGGCCAUGUUCGCCGUCAUUACUGCCUUGCGUAGCAUUCAUCGAAUCGGUGUUUGGGCGCGUGGUUCGGAGUUUGGGUGACGCCGGCCAUGGCGCUGCCACGGGCGCUCUGGCGCCGCCGCGCGCGUAGUGUUAGGGAAGAGUCGUGCGCGCCGGAGUUCUGUGGGUCGUUGAUCCAUAGAUGGGCGGUGGUGAUUAGGCGUGAGAAUACCCGUUGGGGGGAGUAGAUCGUGGCCAUUCAUCCGUCAAUCGGCGAUCAGAGUCGGGUCUUGGCCUCAUUAAAUCCGAUGCGUUGGAUCGAGAAUGGACGGUUCGGGAUCCACGCCGAUUCUAAUAUAGCAAGAUGUAAUCCUGGUCGUUCCGAUGAGAUCUGACGGCUCUAGUAGGUAGAUACCCCUUCACGUGACAAUAUCUCAAAAGAAUCCCUCUGUUUACCAAGAAUCAACCCGCAGUCCACGUAGCUGGUCUCUGUGUCUUAUUUAUUUUUGCGCCAGGGCCCCUGCAAUUCAUGAAUGUUGGUGCGCAGUCCAGAGAUCCGAGGAAAUUAGGGGGUGUUUGGUUUCUAGGGACUAAUGUUUAGUCCCUUCAUUUUAUUCCUUUUUAGUGUAUAAAUUACUAAAUAUAGAAACUAAAAUAAAUUUUUAGUUUCUAUAUUUGGCAAUUUUAGAACUAAAAUGGAAUAAAAUCUAGGGACUAAACAUUAGUCCCUAGAAACCAAACACCCCAUUAGUUAAUUAAUUAUAGAAUGAAUUUUUAAUAUAAAAACAAUUCCUAUAACUUGUUUAAUUCAUAGAAAAUUCAUAUGGAGUCCAAAUUAAUUCAUUCUAGUUCAUAUAAUUUUGUAAUAUUAUUGUUUAUUAUUUAGUGCCACUGUUUUCACAUGAAAGUCACAUUAAAAUUUAUAUCCUAUUUAAUCUUGUACAAAACACAUAAAAUCAUUAGAAAUUCAUAACUUAAGAUCUAUGAUUCUGAUUUGAUCCGUUCAAGUUGUGUUAGUCUCGUACGAAUAUUUACUAUUCAGUAACAACAUUUAAUAUAUCAUGUCUCAUUCUUUCCUAAUUAGAUUUUUAUUUAAUUUAUGUUGGUUAGACUUGUUAAUUUGCUUAAUAAUCUACUAAGAUAUGAUUUAUGGUCAAUUCAUAAUUUAGAUUAAAGUUGAAUAAAUUACUACUUUAAGUUAUCUUUUCUUUGGAAUUAUAAACAUAGAACCUGGUGUUAAUCAUUUAAUCACACCAUAACUUGAUGACCAUGACUCCGAUCUUGGUGGUUCUCGUUCCCACGAUCUCGUAGCUUCGCGUAGAUCAUUAUUAUACAAUUAGUUCUUAUGUUUAGUGUGAUGUUAAUUUUGUCUAUACCAUGUUUGUUUGUAUUGCUACGACUAGCAUGUGGACACGAGGAUCUGAAGAAUCACCCUGGUACCUGGAAUCUCAAGUGCCAGGUGUUGGAGACUUGUUCUCAACUGCUUCGAAUUAAGAACAAGACAACACAAAAAAGAGGUUAAUGGUUAAAUGUCCUUCGUCCUUCGAAACAUUAUUUCCCUUAGGAUAUAACGAUCUUCGGAUGAAGGUCAUGAAGGACGUACCUUCAUCAUCUCAGUAUGUGUUAAUGAAAGACGAAGUAUAUAAAACAUGAGAAAUAACAUGGAUAAUCAUAUGAUAUUAUUAACAUAUCUUCAUUAUAUCAUCAUGCAUAAAUAAGAACAAUAUUGAAUUACAUUCGUACCUUCGGCUUAACAGAAGGUAAAAAAUCCAAACGUGACACACGAGCGAAUACAAGUCAGCGUCCUUCAUCAUCUCAGUAUGUGUUAAUGAAAGACGAAGUAUAUAAAACAUGAGAAAUAACAUGGAUAAUCAUAUGAUAUUAUUAACAUAUCUUCAUUAUAUCAUCAUGCAUAAAUAAGAACAAUAUUGAAUUACAUUCGUACCUUCGGCUUAACAGAAGGUAAAAAAUCCAAACGUGACACACGAGCGAAUACAAGUCAGCGUGAACAGUACAGAGAUAUUGUUCACCUAUUUAUAGGCAUGGGACGCAGCCCAAUCAAAAUUACAUUUAUAUCCUUGAUAACUAGUUACAAUCAUGGCACAAAUUACCAUGGGUCGAUUGGUCUUUUCCUCUUUAAGUCGGUGCAACCCUUCGUAUCAAGGCAUGUCGCUAUGCCGAAGCUCCCUGGAAGGUACCUUCGGCAUGUACCUUCGUGCUAUGUUUGCUUCUAUGCUGAUCUUCCGAAGGUGUUUCUUCUUAAAGGACCUUCGGCUAUGAAGCAGACCCCCAACAGUAGACCCUUCGAGCUUGAUCCGUGAAAAUAUCUCCCAGGCUUCGGAAUGCCGAAGGUCCGAAAAACAUCUUCCCUGAGCUCGUUGUCGAGAAACGAUUAAACUAUUCCGAGCACGAGGUGGCCCACCAUGCGGCGGGUACACACGAUAUGGUGAUUCUCCUUCAAACGCUGAGUGGUCCACCAUUCAGUGGAUGCAGGUAACUGUUCAGCGGUGCAGGCAACUUGGCGGUUCACCUUCCCACCUGCAGCACUAUAUAAACAGACGGGUAGUUGUGAAGUUACCACAACAUUCAUUGCCAUUGCACUGUUGUGCUGUUGAAAAUUUUAACCAUAGCCAAAUCUUAUUCACUAUGUUCUCGAGCGAAGCAUCAUUUUGAUUUAGCUUCGGUAAAAGAAAAAGCUUCGUCAAAACUGUAAAAGUCACCAGCUUCGUAAAAACUCGUAAGAGAUUCAACAUCAAAUGGCCAGAGUACGAUCAACUGCAAGGGUGCCCCGCGAAGGAGAGGAAGCCGAAGCCACUGAGAUAGCCCCGAUUUCCGAAGUUAUGAGGCAAUCGGGAUUGGUUGUGACAGAGGGGGCUAUCGAUGAAGAUGCACAUACUGCUGAAGCUGAAGAAGCUGAUAUUGAGGAAGAAAAUGCUGAUGAAGAGGAAGACUAUAACACUCUAAUCCCAGCAAAGCACAGCCACUUAGAUUUUGAAAAAUCUACUGUCUCUGAGGCCGAUGUGCCCAUGAUGAUGAAGCUCGGUUACUUCGGGGAGACAGAGAAGAAGCUUCUUCGUUUUGCCGGAGAAUAAACCACUCCAGAGCCGAAAAAUGAUGAAGUAGUAGUUUUCAAAAGCUUUUCCAGAGCUGGAUUGCGGUUUCCGCUUCAUGAGAUGAUUGGGGAAGUUUUGGAUAAUUAUGAAAUUUAUCUUCAUCAGCCGACUCCUAACGCUAUCGUUAGGCUCAGCAUCUUCAUUUGGGCCCUUCGAAGCCAGGGAAUGGACCUAAAUGCUAAAGCUUUCUGCCAAGUGCAUGAGCUACAUUAUCAAACAAAGGCUAGAGAAGAUGGGCUUCAUGAGAAUUUUGGUUGUUAUAACUUCGCGUACCGCAAGGAUAUGAAGGCCCUGGUGCUUAGCUACCGCACUAAGUGGCCAACCAGCUAGAAAAGUGAGUGGUUCUAUAAUAAGGACGAUGAGAAGAAGAGGGAGAAAUUGAAGACGCUGGUAAUGAGCCCGCUGAGUUUAAGCUUCAGGCUAACGAGGCCCCUAUGACGCAUGUCGUCGGGGUCACCAUGCCAACAGGCUGUAGCAGAAUUCAGAGUUGUGACUGAGCGGAUCGGCACUAGAGAUCUGGUGCAAGAAUACCUAGCCAAUGGGGUAUUUCCGACGUUGAGUGAAUGGAAUAUGCCGAAGCUGAGGGGAGCAAAGAAAAAGAAUGAACUUGUUCGAUUGCCCUAUCGCUUCAAGUUCGAGAAACAAUUCAAAGAGCCUUGCCAAGAGUGGCUAGAAAUAAUUGAGGCUAUGUGCAACGAAAUUUUGGGCAACUAUACUAAAAAAGAAGAUCAACUGAUGAUCGCGGCCUUCAGCACCGGACCAAAACGAAGGCUGAAUCAGGUAAUGGAUGCCCUGAACUUUGAAUACCCUGACUAUGAACGACUAAGCAAGGGUGUCGAAGGGUCAAAGAGAAAGAGGGUUGUCAGUGUUAUGAACAGACAGGCUGCUAGGAUGAUAAAAGAAGAUGAAAAAACUUUGAAAAAGAAAAAAUCCAGCCCUGAGCCAAAGGUGACAACCUCGAAGAAGAGAAAAACUGCAACUCCAGAGCCGAAGAUGGCUAAGAUAGAAGAGGGAGCUCCUUCGACACCUUCUGCUGCCGAAGUGGAAGAAAUUUUAAAGGUAAUGACCGAAUCCUUACCUAUCAAGCUGCUAAGUCCACUAAGGCUGGAACUGACAAAGCUUUUAUAGAAGAAGGACACACCUUCAGCAGCAAAGAAGGUGGUUGGGCCAAAAAAGCGAAGGAUUGUUACUGUUAUAGAAGCUAUUGAAGAAACGCCACCGCCGACCUCAGGGUCAAAAAUAACACCAGCUGCCGAAGCUGCAACUGCCAAAGCUACCAACCUGGAAAGUACAUUAUCUCAUAUCGAUGAGGUACUCUUGGAUUUGGCUGCAGAGGAGACUGCUGCUGCUGCGGAAGAAGUCCUGGCCACAGUGCCUGAAAAAGAAAGGAAAUCGCUGAAGAUGUUUCGGAAGAAAAGGUCUUUAACUUUCAAAAUAUAAUUGGUCAAGAAUUAUCCAAGGCUGAGAAGGAGGAGCUACAGGAAUAUGCUAUAUCCUGUGGCUACCAGCCAGGAGCGAUGCUCUUCGGCGGAAUUAACGAAGAAGCCUUAGGAUGUAUCCGAGAUCGAACUGGAGUAAAGGUUAUGAGCACUCUGUCGAAGAGUGUUGGUUUUCCGAAGCUUGAAGCUGACAUCAGUCGCUACCGACGACAGCAAAUCGUCGGUAGUUUAUUCUAUUCUAAUUUCAAGGUAAAUUUUUUUCCCUCGGCUUUUCAUUGUUUUACGAUGAAGGUGAUUGCUGAUGAAGGUUAUUUUGCAUAGAGUAUGCUACUAAGUAAAGCCUUGAGGAUGCAACAGGACCUCGAAGAUAAGAAAAAUGAGGUUAUAAUUGAGGGCUUGGAGAGCAAAAUCAAAGAUCAUGAAGCUGCUCUUGAAAAGAAAGAUUUUGUUCUUCAAACAAUGGAGGGUUCAUUGGCGGAAGCCGAAGCCGAAAUUGCCAGAUUAAACAGUGAACUCCUCCUAAAGUCAGAAAGCUUCGAGCAAGAAAAGAAGAAUUUUGAUACGAAGCUUGAAGCCGAAGUCGAAAAGAGUUUGAAUUUGCAAAAAUCCUUGAGGAGCUUCAGGACAAAUGUUUAAACUUCGGCAACCGGUGCGUGCAACGGCUGAAGCAGGUCUUCAACUCAGUUGGAGCUAGUUCUGAAAAUUUUGAACCUUCGGUUGAAGACCUGCCAAGCACCUUCGAACAUAUUGAGGGCGAAGUUGAUGCGCUUGACGAAGUUAUAGCUGGGCACGGUGACUUUUGUGCCCUGCUAGCUUCUCACGACACAGCUAUUGCUUUCAUGAAGACUGGUUGCACGCAUGGGAAGACCGUAAACAGACCAAACUUCAGCCUAUCACCAGCGGAUUUAACUGACAUCCCCAGCCUGGCCCGAAGCAUUGGAAAUAGAUUUAUAACACAAAUCUGGAUGAAGGGUGGGCGAAACUUAACUGGUGACGAAGCUCGAAGUCAUCUCAAGCCGGUAAUAAACUUGUACCUAUUGCUUACCUUCUCCUGAGAUUUCUAUUUACCUUAUACCGCUUUGUUAUGUACAGGAUGACGAAGCCAAAGAUCGAUGAUCCGAAGCUUGACGGAUACUGAUGAAGAUGCUGCAAAAAGCUCUAGAGAAAUUUUGAAUUAACUUUGUAAAAGAUAUUGUAAUUUAGGAAUCAAACACUGCUCUGUAAAUUUGUCCAUACCUUGUAAUAUAUUUUUACCUUUCCAUCCAUGUAUGAACUGCUUUGAUGUGGACGAAACUUGUAUUUUUUGAGCCGAAGACGAAAAACACCUUCCCUUCUUUUCGUACACAACGAAGCAUAACUUUGCUUCUUUUAUACUCAUCGAAGCCUUGUCAUCAGAGUCGAAGCAUCUGUUUGUACUCUAUGUUAUGAUGAUGAUCCUACGAAUCUCUAAAUGAAUGUGUAUGAAUGUAAUGAAUGAUGUGAUGUAACGUGCAAAUGAAUGUCCAAACACACGC